AUCCAACUGACGAAUCCAAACUGGGACGAAACGCAUGUUCUGUAU
rnacentral:hammerhead_ribozyme from 1 species